UUAAAUAUAAAAUAGCCAAAUAUUAAAUGUAAAAUUAUUAAAAUAUUUACUUAACUUGUAUUUAUAAGUUUUAUUUUAUGUAUAAAUCUUUAAAAUAACAAGACAAGAUAUGUUUUUGUUUUUUUCCUUACUGUUUAAAACAGCUACAACUAUAAUUUUGAUUAAUCAAAUUAAUUACAUUUUUGAAAGGCAUAAGGAAAUGAUAAUAUCACAUUUGGUAAAUAUUAAAAAAUUUAAUAUCUAAGCUAUAUAACAAUAUAAGCUUGUUAAUAUCCAUUUUACAUUAACACAUUAACUUUGACAACCCUUAAAUUUGUUAGAUUUUUAUUUUAUAUAAAUUUUCUGCAACUAUCUUAAAGUCCCUGAACCCUAUUUGGAAAAAAAAAACCCUCUUUAUUACAAUUUAAACUUCUACACUUUUAUGUUUGUCUCAAAUCUUCUGUAUCUGAUGAAUUUCAGGUUAAGAGACUGUGUAUCCAGUAGUUCCAGUCCUAUCAUUUAUGUAAAUAUCAUACAUAGUCAAUAUUUACCAAUAUUACAAUGACUCUUUUGAAGGAUUUGCUUAUAGAUAAUAAUAGCUGAAUGCACAUGUGAUAGGAUGUGAAUGCUGACUGUUUAAGUGAGAACUUUGUGUUGAAAUUGCUCAGAUAUGUUUACAUUAAACUGAGUAUAGCUGAGUGCACAGAAUUCAGUCAAACUGCCAGUUGUUUCAGUUAUUUGACAACAGUUUCACUGGUGGUUCACUAGUUAAUGUAAUCUACUGAUAUAGUUUAUGCUUAAUUCAGAAUGUUUGUUGUUAUAUUAAGCUGUAUUUGAUUUAUUUUGUCAUGAUUUUGACUACUAUCCUCAGUUUAAAUGUGACGAGUAUUUUGCCUCAUAAGCACCAUGCUAAGCUUCAGAAGUAAAUUGUUGAAUUGAUAAAUUACACUUACAAGUUUAUGUGGCACAUAUUUGAAAAUGGCAUAUGGAUAUUGAUAUUGCCCAGAGUGAGCCUCAGGAAAUUAAAACUUGACCUUUUUAUGUAUUUUAACAAUCUUUGUUUUGUAUCCUUAAUUUAGAUUGACAUUUUGUGUACUACAGCUUUAUGAAACUUUACGGUUUCAUUGUAAAUCAUAUCCGACAUAUUGGGGGGAUUCUUAAUAGUGUUUUCAUUUAGUAUUUCUAGGCAGUUUCAACAAAUCAUGCAACAGAUGCAAAAGAAAAUGAAGAAAAAAGUUUUAGUCUUAAAGGAUCUAAGGACUCUUCGUAGCAACAUUAUAUGUUAUAUUAUUUUUACAUUACUAUUUAAUCUGUUUUGUGCCAUGUUUUCUUUGCAAGCAAGUUAGAGAAAAAAAAAAUUCAUUGUCACUGGACAAUGUUGUGAAGCAGUAAUUUUCCAUUUAUAUUGCUUGUGGUAAUAACACUGGUUGGAUUUGUGCUGGUCGGACAAAGUUUGACUGAGCAUUGAAACAAACGCAACUAAGUUAUACUGUAAUAAUUUAACCAUCACUUAAUCUCCUGCUUUCUGCUCUUAACUGCUGAGAGAAGACUGUUAAUACAGCUUUGUGUACUGGACAAAACUUGCUAUUAACAGGUUUUGGGUUCCAGACCAAAAUGGGUAUUUUUCCAACAGAAUCCGGGGUUGGAUCCAAUAUCCCUGACAUGGAGACUCGAUCUAAGAUUUGUCAGCAAGAUGUCAUCACUAUGUCAUUCUGUAGCCAUUUCCUUCUCUGUGCUCUUUUAUGUGUCAAUGAGAUUUAGUAUUUGAGUGUUACAAAGCUCUCCUUUUUGAAAUGCAUAUGGGAUUCUAUGUAAUUAACAAUCAGCUUUAAUUUUUUAUUUAAUAAAGUGAUUCUCCUGGU
ensembl:lncRNA